rnacentral:sRNA from 1 species
CACCGCCUGGGGAGUACGACCGCAAGGUUAAAACUCAAAUGAAUUGACGGGGACCCGCACAAGUAGUGGAGCAUGUGGUUUAAUUCGAAGAUACGCGCAGAACCUUACCAACACUUGACAUGUUCGUCGCGACUUUAAGAGAUUAAAGUUUUCGGUUCGGCCGGACGAAACACAGGUGCUGCAUGGCUGUCGUCAGCUCGUGUCGUGAGAUGUUGGGUUAAGUCCCGCAACGAGCGCAACCCUCACUUUUAGUUGCCAUCAUUUAGUUGGGCACUCUGAAAGAACUGCCAGUGAUAAGCUGGAGGAAGGUGGGGAUGACGUCAAGUCCUCAUGGCCCUUACGUGUUGGGCUACACACGUGCUACAAUGGUAUCUACAACAGGAAGCGAAACAGCGAUGUUAAGCAAAUCCUUAAAAGAUACCUCAGUUCGGAUUGCACUCUGCAACUCGAGUGCAUGAAGCUGGAAUUACUAGUAAUCGUGGAUCAGCGUGCCACGGUGAAUGCGUUCCCGGGUCUUGUACACACCGCCCGUCACACCAUGGGAGUUGGUUCUACCUUAAGGCAAGGUUUAAUACCCUUGACCACGGUAUAGUCAGCGACUGGGGUGAAGUCGUAACAAGGUAGCCGUAGGGGAACCUGCGGCUGGAUUACCUCCUUUCUAAGGAUGAAUAAAAGUAAAAUUUUAUUCUAAAUAAUAUACAUAGGUUAAUGUUGACCGUCCUCAUUUCUCUUCUUAAUUAGUGUUUCUCUUGCAUGGGGGCCGGUAGCUCAGUUGGUUAGAGCACACCCUUGAUAAGGGUGGGGUCGAAAGUUCGAGUCUUUCUCGGCCCACCAAUUUAAGAUUAAGGGGGAUUAGCUCAGCUGGGAGAGCGCCUGAUUUGCAUUCAGGAGGUCAGCGGUUCGAUCCCGCUAUCCUCCACCAAACACUUAGUUAUAAAAAUCGUAAAUAAAAUAAUUAAUAUCAAUAUCUAUAUCCGAACAUUGGUAAUGUUAUUAGCUAAUGUUCAAAAUAAAAAUUUGAUUCAACACAGAAUUUUUUUCUG